AUAAAAAAAUCGUGGUGAAAUCCAUUUAUCUAUCUCUUCGAACGUACCAUAGAUCCGAACAAAAACAAAUAUAGUCCUUAUCGAACUCAGAACAAUUGUCUGACUCUUCCAAAGGCUGGCUCAUGGUUCAACCGAUUUAGCUUCCAACUUGUCCCUUAAGUUGCAUUCGUGUCUAAAUCAAAGUUGGACGAUCCGAGAGAUGUAUAUUUGCACGUAACGUAUUUGGUGUAUACUUGUACUGUUUAUCGGCCUUAUGCCAACAUGCAUGAUUCCUACACGUCACCACUACUAACUUUCAU